UCUGCUACGUGUCACUCACCAGGUGCCAGGCAGGGCAUGCGGCCUCAGAGGCAGUGCAGGGAUGAAGAUAGAUCCCCGCCCUCCGGGAGCUCACAGGCUGGGGUGAACAGCCUUUCUCUCUUCUUCUUCUCCUGUGAAUCAGCUCGGGGUGGACCCCGUCACCGAGCAGCAACACGCGCUGUGGAACAUGGAGGAUGGUCAGGUCAGCUCUGACAGAGAGGGAAAAGGAGCUCGCAACGCUGAGGGUGGGUGGCCAAAAGUAUCACGUAGUGUGUGCUAUAGGAAUGCCUGUUCGCACUGCUCGACGCCCCGCCACACGAUAAAAGUUUACAGGUGAGAAGCUGAGUCCCAGGCUAAAACAUGGGGGGCCCGGGGACACCUGCUGGCACCAGCUGUUGUACUUCAAGCAUGACACCGGUCUGCCUUUGGGUAUUAACGGCAGGGACGAGAGGGUGAGACCACCAGCAAGGUGCCUGACCCAGAGGAGUGGCCCCAACAGCGGAGGGAAGGUCCGCCCCCUUCAGCCAUUCCUUAAUAUACUCUUUCAUGUGGCCAAAAUUUGCAGCACAGGAGCUGAGGCCCAGGCCUCCUCACAGGAGUUCCUUGGAGAGAGCGGGGAGUUAAUCUCAGAAGGCUUCCUGCAGGAGGCAGCCCUUAGGCAGCGUCACACCUCCUGAGGACAGCCAGGAGGACUCCGGCUUUUGCUGAACCUUGCAUCUUGCCUCCUUCCUUCCAAAGGCUCCAGACCCAAGUUCGGCUGCCCUGGAGUCCUGCGUGGCCCCUGGCCAGGCCCUCUGCUGCCCCUCCAGGCCAGCCCAGUUCUGGAGCUCACCUCCAGGACCUGGAGCCUGCCCUCCUGCCCAGAAUGACUCACCAUUAUUUCUCGCUCAAGUGAGAAGGCGUGAUGGGCAGCCAGGCUGCCUAUUUGUGUAUCUAGGAUUCCCACAGUAUCUGAUCAGCUCUGUGUGGAGGAGAGCUUCGGGUUCCUGCCUUGCCAGCCAAGCGAGGCUGUCUCUCCAGCUCUCAGAGAGCCCUCAGGGCUCUGCCACGGGAACCCAGGCCGAUGCUUCUACAUUUCCAGGGGCCGUAAGCAGCACCCUGAGCUCCCUGCCACCAGGCAGCUGGAAGGCAUAGUGUGAGG
rnacentral:lncRNA from 1 species